GGUAGCUCGUCGGGCUCAUAACCCGAAGGUCGCAGGUUCGAAUCCUGUCCCCGCCA
rnacentral:tRNA from 1 species